rnacentral:rRNA from 1 species
GUCGAGAAUUUUUCACAAUGGGGGAAACCCUGAUGGAGCGACGCCGCGUGGAGGAUGAAGGCCCUCGGGUUGUAAACUCCUGUCAUGCGGGAACAAGAAAGUGAUAGUACCGCAAGAGGAAGAGACGGCUAACUCUGUGCCAGCAGCCGCGGUAAUACAGAGGUCUCAAGCGUUGUUCGGAUUCAUUGGGCGUAAAGGGUGCGUAGGUGGCGAUGCAAGUCUGGUGUGAAAUCUCGGAGCUCAACUCCGAAAUUGCACCGGAUACUGCGUUGCUAGAGGAUUGUAGAGGAGAGUGGAAUUCACGGUGUAGCAGUGAAAUGCGUAGAUAUCGUGAGGAAGACCAGUUGCGAAGGCGACUCUCUGGGCAAUUCCUGACACUGAGGCACGAAGGCCAGGGGAGCAAACGGGAUUAGAAACCCUGGUAGUCC